CCUGUGACCUAAAAAAGAGCCGGAUACUACAAACCCUGUUUAAAAUUCAAAGAACUUGGCGGUGUCUUAUAUAAUCAGGGGAACCUGUCCCUUAAUUCGAUAAUCCACGAAUGUCUUACCUUCUCUUGUAAAUCAGCCUGUGUACUGCCGUCGUAUGUAUACCCUUAAAGCGAGCAUACAAUAAUAACUACUAUGGACGUCAGGUCAAAGUGCAGCCUAUGGGACGGAGGAGAUGGGUUACAAUUCCAAACAGAGCCAACUAUUAAUGAAAAUUAAUAUUAAAGAUGGACUUGAAAGUAAUGAUUCUACUAAACAGUCAUGAAUGGGAGUCUGAGACAUGCACACAUCGCCCGUCACUCUCGUCGAAAGAUG
rnacentral:rRNA from 1 species